rnacentral:tRNA from 1 species
GCCCGAAUGGUGGAAUCGGUAGACACGAAGGACUUAAACUCCUUUGACCCGAAUAAGGUCGUGCGGGUUCAAGUCCCGCUUCGGGCA